CCAGGCAGCACUCUGAAAAUCAUUCCCAAGGGAAUAUCUGAUUCCUGUCUGCACUUUGUUUUCCCAGUGUGGAUUCUAAGUAAUAGGAGAGCUAGCUAAUAUCCAUGGUCCUGGAAGAAUUUCUUCAAUUAUGGAGUUGUUGAGCCUCUGUUAAGGACCGAUGAGACUCACAGGCCCUGCCUAGCCCAAUAAACGGAGAGAGUAAUUUCCACCUCGGAAAACAUUUGAGUACAAACAUCCUUGUAAGAAUCCCCAUAGGAAACGCCAUGCCUCUGCUCAGAUUAAAAAG
rnacentral:lncRNA from 1 species